CUUCUCAGACACACGCCAUGGAUCAAACACAUAAAGGAAGGGCCAAAGGGACACUGACAAGGCACCGUGUUCCUGAACUCUGCUUACUCUCAAUUCUGGGCGCCUGAAUAUCCGCUCAUCCAAUAAUCUUGAUGUCGAGUGACAGGUAUGUGCAGCUGGGUGAGUAAGUAAUUAUUUCUACUUCUAUUGUUCUGUUAACUUAUUGUUCACCACAAAGUGCUGUGGCAUUCUGCUCUUUUUAAUUGGACUUGAGCUUGCAUAUGUGAUGAAGUUUUGACACGUGUCGUGGUGACGUGGCACGGCGUAAUAAUCUUAUUUUUGAAUAAGUCUUUGUGUUAUUUGUAGAUCCCCCAAACUACCAGCAUUAGAAACAAGUUGUCAUUGAGCUCUAGCCACUAACUGAUGUGGAU
rnacentral:lncRNA from 1 species